CCACCGGUGUCGUCGCCGCCACUAUGGUUCGUGGUCGUCACUGCCGUUCGUGACGGACUAGGUUGCGUCCUAGCUUCCGGAGCCGCCAUCACCGUAACCUUGUUGCUUUGGGUCAACCAUGUCUCUGCCUCUGAUGUACCUUGUCGUGCCAUAUCCAUUGGAACUGCCGUGGUUGGGGCUUGUUAUUAGAGAAAGUAAUUUGCUGCCACCAUCUUUCAGUCUAGCCAGCAUCAUCAUCCUCUUUGUUCCAGUUCCAAUGCCAAUUUUCUGUUUCUUAAGCCAUUGUCAAUUUAUCUCCUGAGCAAUCACAAUUGGUGUUAAGGUCGUUGAUGUUGCUGCUGAUAUGCUAUAGCUAGUCGCAAGAGUUUUACUGCUGCGGGAUUACGUUGAAAUUGUCGCUGCUGCUGUGAAUUCAAAAUAAGCGGGCUUAUAGUGGUAAAUUUGUGCGAGUUCAGCUAAUCAAGCGACAGGUUUGAAGACACAAUUUGAAGCUGCGAGCGAUCAGUAGGCUUUCUUUAUGGUUUUAAUUGCUUUCAUGGAGUCCCCUCGCUAUUGUCCUUUGAGAUUUUAUUUUACAUAGAGGGGUAGGUUUAGUAUAUU